rnacentral:sRNA from 1 species
GGGCAACCAGUAGAGGAAGGUAUAAGCAACAAGCUUGGAGAAGAAGAGGCAGAAUGCGUAUUCCGCGACACCGGGCAAUCUCCAUGCCUCCAAGAACCCAAUGGCCCUAGGCAGCUGAGAUCCCAUUUCCAAUUCCAAUUCACCAUCGUCAUCCUCUUUCUUGUCCUCUACAAGAAGUUCCACCUCCUCCCCACCAUCCCCACUCAUCUCAACCUCCAUUGCUUCCAUCGGAGGAGGAGGAGGCGGCCGGGGCUAGGGAGGAGCGGAGGGGUCUGUGGUCAUCGGAGGCGGCGAGGUGGGGGAUCUGGCACUGGCACGCGGAAAGGAAGAAGAAAGACGACUGGCGACUAGGAGCAGAAGUACGAACGAGGGAAUUGACUUUUCCUUCUGGUUGUGGCCUGUGGGGAAGCAAAAAAAAAUCUUCUUUGCUGAAUUGAAAAAGCCAAAUGAGAAUAUUUUCUCAUGGUUACUGAUUUAUCUUCAUAGAGUACAACAGAAGAAUGUGAAGAUUGAUGUGGGCAAAACAAAAUGCAGCGUGUGUCAAGGUGUGAUUUAUGUUGUUGAUUUUGGGCUUGUGUUGUAGGUGAAGUGGUUAUGCAUAAAUUCAUCAAGUAGGC